rnacentral:misc_RNA from 1 species
GAUGAAGAACGUAGCGAAAUGCGUUACGUAAUGUGAAUUGCAGAAUUCAGUGAAUCAUCGAGUCUUUGAACGCACAUUGCGCCCCCUGGUAUUCCGGGGGGCAUGCCUGUCCGAGCGUCAUUGCUGCCCUCAAGCACGGCUUGUGUGUUGGGCCUCCGUCCUCCUCCCGGGGGACGGGCCCGAAAGGCAGCGGCGGCACCGCGUCCGGUCCUCGAGCGUAUGGGGCUUCGUCACCCGCUCUUGUAGGCCCGGCCGGCGCUUGCCGACACAUCAAUCUUUUUUCCAGGUUGACCUCGGAUCAGGUAGGGAUACCCGCUGAACUUAAGCAUAUCAAUAAAGCGGAGGA